GAACGCUGGCGGCGUGCCUAACACAUGCAAGUCGAGCGAAGCGAUCGAGAUGAAGUUUUCGGAUGGAUUCCUGAUUGACUGAGCGGCGGACGGGUGAGUAACGCGUGGGUAACCUGCCUCAUACGGGGGGAUAACAGUUAGAAAUGACUGGUAAUACCGCAUAAGCGCACAAUGUUGCAUGACAUAGUGUGAAAAACUCCGGUGGUAUAAGAUGGACCCGCGUCUGAUUAGCUAGUUGGUGAGAUAACAGCCCACCAAGGCGACGAUCAGUAGCCGACCUGAGAGGGUGACCGGCCACAUUGGGACUGAGACACGGCCCAGACUCCUACGGGAGGCAGCAGUGGGGAAUAUUGCACAAUGGAGGAAACUCUGAUGCAGCGACGCCGCGUGAGUGAAGAAGUAAUUCGUUAUGUAAAGCUCUAUCAGCAGGGAAGAUAGUGACGGUACCUGACUAAGAAGCUCCGGCUAAAUACGUG
rnacentral:rRNA from 1 species